rnacentral:rRNA from 1 species
GAUCAGCUCAGGACGAACGCUGGCGGCGUGCUUAACACAUGCAAGUCGAACGGAGCACCCUUGACUGAGGUUUCGGCCAAAUGAUAGGAAUGCUUAGUGGCGGACUGGUGAGUAACGCGUGAGGAACCUGCCUUUCAGAGGGGGACAACAGUUGGAAACGACUGCUAAUACCGCAUGAUGCGUAACUGGGACAUCCCGGAUACGCCAAAGAUUUUAUCGCUGAAAGAUGGCCUCGCG